rnacentral:rRNA from 1 species
CCGGUAAACGGCGGCCGUAACUAUAACGGUCCUAAGGUAGCGAAAUUCCUUGUCGGGUAAGUUCCGACCUGCACGAAUGGCGUAACGAUGGCCACACUGUCUCCACCCGAGACUCAGUGAAAUUGAAAUCGCUGUGAAGAUGCAGUGUACACGCGGCUAGACGGAAAGACCCCGUGCACCUUUACUACAGCUUUACACUGAACAUUGGACCUACUUGUGUAGGAUAGGUGGGAGGCUUCGAAGCGCAGACGCCAGUUUGCGUGGAGCCAACCUUGAAAUACCACCCUGGUAGUUUUGAUGUUCUAACCCAGACCCGUUAUCCGGGUCGGGAACAGUGUAUGGUGGGUAGUUUGACUGGGGCGGUCUCCUCCCAAAGAGUAACGGAGGAGCGCGAAGGUACUCUAAGCACGGUCGGAAAUCGUGCGGUUAGUGCAAAGGCAUAAGAGUGCUUGACUGCGAGACAGACACGUCGAGCAGGAACGAAAGUUGGUCUUAGUGAUCCGGUGGUUCUGAAUGGAAGGGCCAUCGCUCAACGGAUAAAAGGUACGCCGGGGAUAACAGGCUGAUACUGCCCAAGAGUCCAUAUCGACGGCAGUGUUUGGCACCUCGAUGUCGGCUCAUCACAUCCUGGGGCUGAAGCAGGUCCCAAGGGUAUGGCUGUUCGCCAUUUAAAGUGGUACGCGAGCUGGGUUUAGAACGUCGUGAGACAGUUCGGUCCCUAUCUGCCGUGUGCGUUGGAAAAUUGAGAAGAGCUGCUCCUAGUACGAGAGGACCGGAGUGGACGAACCUCUGGUGUUCCGGUUGUCAUGCCAAUGGCAUUGCCGGGUAGCUAAGUUCGGACAGGAUAACCGCUGAAAGCAUCUAAGCGGGAAGCCCCCUUCAAGAUGAGUUUUCCCUGGAUCCUUGAGAUCCCUGAAGGUCCGUUGAAGACUACGACGUUGAUAGGCUGGGUGUGGAAGUGCAGUAAUGUAUGAAGCUAACCAGUACUAAUUGACCGUGAGGCUUGACCAUAUAACACCAGAAAGUUCUG